rnacentral:rRNA from 1 species
GAUGAACGCUGGCGGCGUGCCUAAUACAUGCAAGUCGAGCGAAUGGAUUAAGAGCUUGCUCUUAUGAAGUUAGCGGCGGACGGGUGAGUAACACGUGGGUAACCUGCCCAUAAGACUGGGAUAACUCCGGGAAACCGGGGCUAAUACCGGAUAACAUUUUGAACCGCAUGGUUCGAAAUUGAAAGGCGGCUUCGGCUGUCACUUAUGGAUGGACCCGCGUCGCAUUAGCUAGUUGGUGAGGUAACGGCUCACCAAGGCAACGAUGCGUAGCCGAGCUGGGAGGGUGAUCGGGCACACUGGGACUGAGACACGGCCGAGACUCCUACGGGAGGCAGCAGUAGGGAAUCUUCCGCAAUGGACGAAAGUCUGACGGAGCAACGCCGCGUGAGUGAUGAAGGCUUUCGGGUCGUAAAACUCUGUUGUUAGGGAAGAACAAGUGCUAGUUGAAUAAGCUGGCACCUUGACGGUACCUAACCAGAAAGCCACGGCUAACUACGUGCCAGCCGCCGCAGUAA